AAGGGCUGGUGGCUGUCAACCACUCCCAGGUGCGUUCUCAGCCCCUCCCCAGACUGUUUCCCCUGAGGGGGUGUGGCAACAGCCUUGGUGUCUGUGUGUGUGUUGACAAGACAGACCGCUUGGGUUAAACACCUCCCCUGACGGAGGGAGGCACAGCACGCAUCCUUGCUGUCAGAAGAGGUUCCUCCCUUUUCCAGGUUGCCCAGAAACUCUUGGCCCUUUAGCUGUUCGUUCUUGGGAUUUCUCUGGGUUUUUCUACCCAGUUACCUUUAACAGUGUAACAGCAAGAAGAAACAGGGAUUGGGUUAUCACUUUAUUUACUUGGAAGAUUUUUCUGAAAAUACCUCCAGCUGCUGCCAUUUGCCCAGCCAGGAUGGCUUCCCAACCUUCCCACAAUCCUGUCUUGUGUCUGUUUUCAUUCUCCCAGCCUCCCCUCCUUCCAUCUCCUGGUGGGAUCUCCCAGGGUGGACCACCAUACUUUCCCCCUGGAUUUAUCAUGUUCUGUCUGUUUCCUUUUAGUAUUUUUCUGUCACCCUUGGUAUCUCUCUGCCCUUCCUCUUGUCUCUUUAGCAUUCCCUUUGCUUAGAGCCAGGGAAUGGCGGCGGGAAAGCUGGUGUCUGUUGCCGUGUAAUAGGGAAAGGAGCCUUUCUUAUUUUCCCCCAGCUCCCCUCCUUUCCUAAGCAAAAAUACUGAGGUUUGGAGGUGAGAUUUAAAGAACCAAGAGCUGCAGUGAUUCUUACUGCAUGUUGCAGUCACACGCCUGCUGUUCCCCAGGGAUCUCCUUACUGCAUGGUGCCUGGGCCCAGGACUUCCCUGCAGUACCUUCUCCCUGCCUCCUAGUCACUCUGUCCAGUAAGGACUCCAGCCAGCUCACUGGCCAGAGCUGGUUGACCAGUCAGAACUUAUACUGGGUCAGCCUCAGACCCCAGGGCAGAAAAGUCAAGAGUUCCCCAGGCACAAGCCAAGACUAGGACUGCAGUUGCCUCUCUUGGCAGCUUGACUUCCUCUCCCCAGGUGAGUGGCAAAGAAUGGAAAAAUCCCUCACCUGAUAGAAAAUGUCUAAAUGACUGAGCUGUGUUUGUCCUGCCCUAACCCCUGGGGCAAUCCUGCAUGGCCCUGCCUGGUAGUUGCAAAUCUGAACCCCAGUGCACACACACUGGGGCUGGAGGGACUCAGAAUGUGGAAAUCCCAUCCCACGAUCCCAUGGCUGUCCUGCACCUGGCAGAGGGGGAUGCACAGGUGGACCCCUGUGGUUGGGAGAAGUGUUCUCACCCAGCAGAGCUGAGGUUCUGCCAUUUCCUGUCCCAGGGGAGCAACUCAAGUUACCAGGGCAACAGGCUAGAAUAAAUCUUGUCUGGGUAAGGACAAGGGCAGUGUUGCUAGGACAACUGAUUAGGCCAAUUUGACUCCAGGCUCUUUCUGUACCCAGCAGGCUAAAUCACCUGGCAUUGAUAAUCAACCCAUCUACCACCACUACUUGCCCAGAACCCAGGCACUGAGAUCCCUGCUGCUUCCUGCUUUAUCUUUACCCACCAUUUAAGGUGAUCUAGAGCUGCUCUCUGACAGCAGCUGUGAUCUCCCAGGACGGGGGUGUUGCAAGGUGGCUUGGGUGAUGGGGAGUGGAAAGGAGUAGGUACGACGAGACUCUCCUAUGGGUAGUUUCAAGUCAAACCUGUGGGAAAGGCUCCAGGCCAGGGGCACAGCAGCACCCAGGCUGGGAAAGGGAGGGGCCUGCAGAUGGCUUUUUUGUCCCUGCCACUUUGCACAUUGGCAUCUGGUACAUAGAUGAAGGCCACCCUAGGGACUGUGGCCUUGAACAUACUGUUUUGGUGGCGACUUACCCACACACCUGCCUCUCCCUGUGCACAACCUGCGCUGCCAGCACCUCUCCUGCGUAUUGAUGGGGCUUUGCUGAGGGGGGAGGGGCACUUGGAAGUGGGCCUGGGCACACCUGCCUGUUGGCUGGAUACCCACCCUCAGGAUGCUGGUUGGUCCUGUAUCCCACUCCCAGUAUCAUCCUUAAAAGGUGUUUAAGGUACCAGCCAGCUCCCAUGCAUCCUGCACCUUUGGCUCCUCCAGUACUCCAGCCCUUUUCCAGGCCUGGGACAUGGAAAAGCUCUACUCUCCCU